rnacentral:lncRNA from 1 species
UGGCAGCAUUGGAGUUGUGUUUAGUAUUAUUACUCUUUGGAUAUAUGUGUGUGUGUGUGUAUCUUGGUAGUAUUAGGGGCAUAUUGUUAAAUAUCAGUGCGUUUCUUCUUUCCAAGAACUUUGAGACGGUUCCUCCGGGCCAACAUUGCCGGGAAAAAGAACCUUCCACUCACGGGCUGCUCAUUGAUGUGUGACAAAAGCAGCCAGUCAAGAAGCACUCUUAGGCUUAAUUUGGUUUUUUUUCUUUUUUGAUGAUAACAUUAUCUCCUUACAAAUCUUACCAGGGCAUGAAAGCAUAAGAUUAUGCACAACAUCUACUGUGCUGGGCUCUAGACCAGUUACUAGCGGCAUGGGGUAGUGUGAGCCCGUGCCGAGCUUAUACAGACACAGUAGAAGAGACGGAAGAAAGGGAGAACAAGAAAGAUGAAUAGAGAGAGAGAGAAUGGGGAGGUCGAAAAAGGCCAACGGAGAACCAGCGAAGGGUUGGAGAGCCGCCACAACAGAGGAGGCAGAGGAGAGGCUCCGCCUCCAGUUCUCUGUUUCGUUAGUAGAGGACCAGAGACGAGCCCCUCUUCCAUAGCUCCCCAGCCUCC